GACCAUUUCUCUGCUGAUGUUUGGGGGAGCUGUGACAGCCAAGCACUUCCAGAUGUAGGUUCAGACCGUGCUGACUAAGCAAGCUUCAUCUGCUGAUGAAGACCAGUUGAAAGCUCCACAACAAGCAUCCAAAACGAUGAAGAUGCUGCAGGCAUUGGAGAGGUCACUGAGAAAAUAGAAGAUCUACCAGAUGUCACUGCAGCAAUCAGAGAGUUCACCAAUCUGCCUUCCAUUUAAAGAGUUAUCCUGACUGUUUCCCAGCUACAGACCAUCAAGCAAGGGUUCUGCUGUGUUAUUACUAUGAAGUUCAUCGAGGAGCCGGUCUUCACACAGUGUUGCCGAAGCAUUAUGGGCUGCAAAACAUGUGGAACAGUGGCAGGAGACCUCUGUGCACUGUGCAAAAUGUAGAGGGAACACUGCAGGCAACAGCACAUUUAAAGUUAAUGGUCUGUCAGAGGCAUUUUCUGUUCUGAGAUCCCUUUUUGAAGAGGAGUAACAUUUUGCACUUUUAUACUCACAAAGAGGCAUGUUGUAUUUGAGUUUGUUUUAUUGAAUCAAAAAUUUUGGUAAGAGUUCUUAUAGUAGUGCUGUGAAUGUAUUUACAUGUUUGGGCUGGAUGAUGUCAUAUUGGUGUUCAGCAUAAACUGUCAAGAAGGAAGUUGAUGAUUUGACUACUAUUCUUAUUGACAUUUUCUUUUAGUGAUAUUAACACUAAAAGAGGCAUCCAGAGGCAUCACAGCACUGUGCCAGUGUGUGCGCACAUACCACACUUGCCCCCCAUUGUUAAUGCUGCCGUUACUGUUUUGCCUUGGAACAGCAUUGAGUGAAGCAUCAGAGUGCAUUAUCUCUCCAUCAGGGAGAAAUACACCUGAUGCGCACGUCACACAGAGUGAGGGAAGUACCUGCCUGUCGUGUUUUCCUUCAUUGAUCUCCACAUGAAAGACGAGGAGGACUGAACACAAUGACAUGAAUAUUGCUGCUUCAACAUUUACGACCAGCAGUGGUGAUUUCACGGACCUCUCCGCUGGCUCUGCCGUUUUCUGUACCGUCCCCAAUGGGCCAAACCCCCGUUUAUGGAGGGUUUGAUGACGUAGAGGGUUGAGGCAGGAUAUCACAGCUUCCUGAUUGCUGCUACACAGCUGGUCGCUUGCCCACUGGCAUAAUUUUACAAGGUGCGACGGCAUGAAUGUGUAUUGACAGAGUGGAUGGACAGGACACUGAAACUGGAUCAUUCUCUCCAGCUCUGCCGUGUUCCUCCUCCAUUCAUGGUUGUCAAGGAAGUGAGUCUAUCUUCCUGGGAGGAAAUAGAUUCCCUCUUGGAUAAAACAGACUGUGUCUGUCGUUCUCAACAUGACAGACACAAGGUGUUUUACUCCACGUACUUCCUGGUCACUAAGAAGAUGGGAGAUUUCAAACCCAGUUUGGAUCUCUGCACCCUAAACUGGUGCAUCGCUUGCAAAACCUUUCACAUGCUAACCAUCCAGCGGUUACUGGAGCUGGUUUAUUGCUGAAGCAACCACACAAACUAUUGAAUUGUACUCUUGUGGAUGAAGUCUGUAAAUAAGGCCUUCUCUCCUGAUUAUGGUAAUGAGAUGACAGCAGCUCCAGCAUGAAGAGCGUCAAAUAAAACUCCUUGCCAUGAUCAACUUGCACUUGGUCCCACA